rnacentral:rRNA from 1 species
UACGUAGGUGGCAAGCGUUGUCCGGAAUUACUGGGUGUAAAGGGAGCGUAGGCGGGUGCGCAAGUUGAAUGUUAAACCUAUGGGCUUAACCCAUAGUUGCGUUCAAAACUGCGCAUCUUGAGUGAAGUAGAGGCAGGCGGAAUUCCUAGUGUAGCGGUGAAAUGCGUAAAUAUUAGGAGGAACACCAGUGGCGAAGGCGGCCUGCUGGGCUUUAACUGACGCUGAUGCUCGAAAGCGUGGGUAGCAAACA